GCCAGACUCCUACGGGAGGCAGCAGUGGGGAAUAUUGCACAAUGGGGGAAACCCUGAUGCAGCGACGCCGCGUGAGUGAAGAAGUAUUUCGGUAUGUAAAGCUCUAUCAGCAGGGAAGAAAAUGACGGUACCUGAUUAAGAAGCCCCGGCUAACUACGUGCCAGCAGCCGCGGUAAUACGUAGGGGGCAAGCGUUAUCCGGAUUUACUGGGUGUAAAGGGAGCGUAGACGGUGAUGCAAGUCAGAAGUGAAAGCCCGGGGCUCAACUCCGGGACUGCUUUUGAAACUGUGUGACUGGAGUGCAGGAGAGGUAAGCGGAAUUCCUGGUGUAGCGGUGAAAUGCGUAGAUAUCAGGAGGAACACCAGUGGCGAAGGCGGCUUACUGGACUGUAACUGACGUUGAGGCUCGAAAGCGUGGGGAGCAAACAGGAUUAGAUACCCUCGUAAG
rnacentral:rRNA from 1 species